rnacentral:rRNA from 1 species
GACGAACGCUGGCGGCGUGCUUAACACAUGCAAGUCGAACGGAAAGGCCCUGCUUUUGUGGGGUGCUCGAGUGGCGAACGGGUGAGUAACAUGUGAGUAACCUGCCCCUGACUUUGGGAUAACUUCAGGAAACUGGGGCUAAUACCGGAUAGGAGCUCCUGCUGCAUGGUGGGGGUUGGAAAGUUUCGGCGGUUGGGGAUGGACUCGCGGCUUAUCCGCUUGUUGGUGGGGUAGUGGCUUACCAAGGCUUUGACGGGUAGCCGGCCUGAGAGGGUGACCGGCCACAUUGGGACUGAGAUACGGCCCAGACGCCUACGGGAGGCAGCAGUGGGGAAUAUUGCACAAUGGGCGGAAGCCUGAUGCAGCAACGCCGGGUGCGGGAUGACGGCCUUCGGGUUGUAAACCGCUUUCGCCUGUGACAAAGCGUGAGUGACGGUAAUGGGUAAAGAAGCACCGGCUAACUACGUG